GCCGUUCGAGUUGUGCGUGCUCGCGGGCGCGGCGGGCGGCAGCGCGAUCGGGAUGAUCGCGGGGCUUCCCGCGCUGCGCCUGCGCGGCCUCUAUCUCGCGCUCGUCACGCUGAUGAUGGCGGGCGGGUUUCAGGUGGUCGUGUCCGCCAUCGGCUUUCCCGACGGCGGCGGCGGCUUCACCGGCCAUUUGUCGUUCGGCGCGCGGCAGAUGAUGGCGCGGCCGCUCGUCGGCCAGAGCGAUGCGGCGUAUUUCCGCUACGUCGCCGCGUGGGCCGCGCUCGCGUUCGCGCUGAUCGAGCUGCAUCGGCGCUCGAAAGCGGGGCGCUCGUGGGCGCUGAUCCGGCGCGGCGAGAUGCCGGCGCUCGCCGCGGGCGUGAACGUCGUGCUCUACCAAACCUGGGCGUUCGGGCUCGCGGGCCUGCUCGCGGGGCUCUCGGGCGGCCUGCUCGCGGGCUCGGUCGGCCAGCUCGACGGGCGCGCGUUCGCCGCGUCCGAAUCGGUGCUGCUGUUCGCGCUGUCGGUGGUCGGCGGCGUCUAUCACUGGUUCGGCGCGCUGAUCACCGGGCUGCUGCUGCGCGCGGUGCCCGCGCUCCUGACCGAUUUCGGCGUGAACGGUUAUCUCGCGAUGAUCUUCUUCGGCGCGGCGCUGCUGCAUGCGCUCGUCACGGCGCCCGCCGGCAUCGCCGGGCAGCUUGCCGGGCUCGCGUCGCGGGUCGGGCGCGCGUUUCGCGCCCGCGACGGAGGCGCGCGAUGAUCGAAAUCUCGAACCUGACCGUGCAAUUCGGCGGCACGCGCGUGCUCGACGCGCUCGACGCGAAGCUCGCCGCGCCCAUAUGCGGGCUGAUCGGCCCGAACGGCGCGGGCAAGACGACGCUGCUGAACGUACUGAGCGGCUUCUUGCGGCCGCGCGCGGGCAGCGUCGCGCUGGACGGCCGCGCGCUGCUCGCGCUGUCCGUCGCCGAGCGCGUGCGCGCGGGCGUGCGGCGCACGUUCCAGACCGAACAGAUCGUCGAGGAUCUGAGCGUGCACGACAACGUGCUCGCGCUCGCCGAGCACGUGAUGCCGGCUCUCGCCGCGCGCGACGACACGCGGCGCGCGCUCGAACUCGUCGGCCUCGCCGACGUCGCGCACGUGCAGGGCGCGGCGCUCAACCUGUAUCAGCGCCGCAUGCUGGAACUCGGCAAGGCGCUCGUCGGCGCGCCGCGCCUGCUGCUGCUCGACGAGCCGGGCGCGGGCCUGAACGAGACCGAAGCCGCGCGGCUCGCCGACGUGAUCGUUCGCAUUCCCGAAUGCGUCGGCGCGCAGGUGCUGCUGAUCGAUCACGACGUCGAGCUGAUCGAUGCCGUGUGCGAGGCGACGCUCGUGCUCGAUUUCGGCAAGCGGCUCGCGCUCGGGCCCACGCGCGCGGUG
rnacentral:rRNA from 1 species